CAGACAGAACUGUUCCCCAGACUUCUGAGCUCACGUAUGCUUUGCAUGUUAUGUGCCUGUAAGCACACACUUUUGCAUAUGGCCCUUCAUGUGAUGCCUGUGAGAAUUAGCCAUGUUGUCAUACACCAUGGAAAGAUGCUAAAAGCAGGGAGUGACGUUUUCUGAGAGACAGAGGUCAUGACUGGCUGGAGCUGGAGCAGCUUGGAAGCAACCCAGAAAAAGACUGCGUUACUUUAAGAGCUGAAGUCAGCCUCCGGAGAACAAAGCUGCCAGUGUAGGCACAGACUAAGAGAGUCUCACUAAGUCGGGGUGGGGGAUAGAGGACCGCUGUGGUACCCCCACCUCCUUCUCACAUCCCCUUUAGGAGCCUCGGGUAGGGAAGGGUUUGGGAAUGCCGAGAUGUCAUCAGGUUCUUUCUGAAACCCUCUGGCUCCUCACUGCCCACCCAAUAAAGCUCUGGCCUCUACCUAGAUGGCUUCCAGGAGUCUUUAUAACUACCUCUUCAGCCUCGUUUCCUUGCCCUCCCCCCACCCCAGCCAAUCACUCUACAAGGAACUACUUCUGGCUUCUGCCCACAUCCCUCCUUUUGCGGCACACCUCCCUAGUAAGGCUUUACAUCUCAAAGGCUUUCUCGGAUGCUCUUCCCCUAGAUAGGGUUAAAUUCUGUUUCCAAGAAGACUCAUCUCCAAGAUAAUAGUCCACCUAAGAAUCUAACCUCUGAGCCAGUAUCCAUGGCUCCCAGAGAAUUUGCCUCUAAAGAGUAGCCUCCAGGGGCCAUAAAACAUUUACAGAGGAGGACAGAGAAGUGGAAUUCCAGGCAGACAAUGGGAUCUGUGUCUGGGCAGGUAUGGUGAAAUGGGGAAAAGUAAAACUGUUUUCCUGGCUACUCUGCUUUUCCUUGAGUGCCACGGGACCAUGGGACUGGGCUGAAAUGCUGACACAAACAAUUAGUGCAGUUUGAGCGGGGUUUGGUAGCUCAAGUCUUUAAUCCCAGUACUUGGUAGGCAAGUGGAUCUCUGAAUUUGAAGCCGUCCUGGUCUACAUGGUGAGUUCUAGGACAGUCAGUGCUCUCUCUCUCUCUC
rnacentral:lncRNA from 1 species